rnacentral:rRNA from 1 species
UACGUAGGGGGCAAGCGUUGUCCGGAAUCAUUGGGCGUAAAGAGCGUGUAGGCGGCCCGAUAAGUCCGCUGUGAAAGUCCAGGGCUCAACCCUGGGAUGCCGGUGGAUACUGUCGGGCUCGAGUCCGGAAGAGGAGUGUGGAAUUCCUGGUGUAGCGGUGAAAUGCGCAGAUAUCAGGAGGAACACCAAUGGCGAAGGCAGCACUCUGGGACGUUACUGACGCUGAGACGCGAAAGCGUGGGGAGCAAACAGG